UAGUUCCUGCCUUUCACUCACAAUCGCUCUGGUAAAAGCAGAUCGCCAAUAAAAGCACUUUGUGCAAUAUGUCUUUGCAGUAACUACCACAUAAUAAUUAACUUAUCACUUCCUGUUGUCACCUUUCUUGCUCAAGUUUAAGCUAGCGGAGUCAAAAAGAGAGGGGCCUUUAUUUGGCCGUUUCAGAUCCAGAAGCCUCACCCCUGUGAUGUUCGAGUCUGCAGUAAUUUAGAAGAAAGUUCACAAAAAAGAAGGUGCUAAAACCAGGCCUUGGUUCAUCGUCUGUCUGAAGCUAGCAGUGUACGAUAAAAAGGAUUCUUUUCAAUCAUCCAACGCUACUCUACAGUCUGUGGAGCUGGAAAAGAAUAGAUCCUGUUUGAGUGUUGGUAGUGAAACUAAAAUUCUUCCUGCCAAUACAAGGUGUAAUAAAGUUUAAAGACUUUGCCCAUUAAAACUUAAAUAUGGACAGUCUCUAUUUUAAGGUUGUGUGCGUGUGCGUCUGGAUUACUUCCAGGUCAGUUGCAAUUUUCAGAUUCCUGGAAACCCGUUUCUGACCACUUGCAUAGAGAGUAAACAUACAGAGCUGGGUUUCCACCAAACAGCAUGUUUCAGUGGAACAGUCUGCACUGUCAGGACAAGGAGAAAACCUUUUCUUUUUUUUAGUUAUUUGUGACAUUCACAGGGUUGUUUUCCCAUGAAAUCAUCUCAGUGUCAGACUGUAAAUAGAGAGGUCUAUAAACAUGCUAAUGUGUCUGAGGGAGAACACUUUACCGACUUUCAAGAGGCAAGAAGAAGAGGAUAUUUUACCCUCUUCAUGGCAUUGUACACCAGCUUAGUGCAUUAAACAGCUAUACCAUCACCAUCUUUGUCCAACAUGAUAUAAAAAUUCAUGUCUCCUAUGUCACCAUUUGGAUACAGUGGAGAACAUCCAGAAAGCAUAGCAGAGUGCAAGAGUCGGAAAAAGGACUUUGAGGAAGCGAUCAAAAGCUGCACAGCACCGUUUGGAUAAAAUUGAUACAAGAUUAAAAAUGACUUUUUCAUUCUGAGAGCAUUUUGAUGAGAAACUACCCACAAGUUUGCAUGUCAUGGUAAUCUUUGUUGUUUCGAAUAUUUUGGCUUAUAUUUUUAUCACUGAAUGAUUUCAUUUAUUUUUUAAAAGGUUCACCUCGAAAAGUAAAUCCACAUGACCAUGAUUUCAUGGACCCCAUUA